AUUGCUAGGGGUGCGCAUGCGCUGAGAGUGGACCUGAUCCUGACCCUCAUUACCUGAACCGGACAAUGCCGGCGUAGGGAAGCAGUUAAU
rnacentral:ncRNA from 1 species